rnacentral:rRNA from 1 species
GACGAACGCUGGCGGCGUGCUUAACACAUGCAAGUCGAACGGAAAGGCUCCAGCUUGCUGGAGUGCUCGAGUGGCGAACGGGUGAGUAACACGUGGGCAAUCUGCCCUGCACUCUGGGAUAAGCCUGGGAAACUGGGUCUAAUACCGGAUAGGACCUUUCUCCUCAUGGGGUUUGGUGGAAAGUUUUUCGGUGCAGGAUGAGCCCGCGGCCUAUCAGCUUGUUGGUGGGGUAAUGGCCUACCACGGCGACGACGGGUAGCCGGCCUGAGAGGGUGAUCGGCCACAUUGGGACUGACAUACGGCCCAGACUCCUACGGGAGGCAGCAGUGGGGAAUAUUGCACAAUGGGCGAAAGCCUGAUGCAGCGACGCCGCGUGAGGGAUGACGGCCUUCGGGUUGUAAACCUCUUUCAGUAGGGACGAAGCGCAAGUGACGGUACCUGCAGAAGAAGCACCGGCUAACUACGUG